rnacentral:rRNA from 1 species
AACGAACGCUGGCGGCAUGCCUAACACAUGCAAGUCGAACGAGACCUUCGGGUCUAGUGGCGCACGGGUGCGUAACGCGUGGGAACCUGCCCUUAGGUUCGGAAUAACUCCCCGAAAGGGGUGCUAAUACCGGAUAAUGUCUUCGGACCAAAGAUUUAUCGCCUUUGGAUGUGCCCGCGUUGGAUUAGAUAGUUGGUAGGGUAAAAGCCUACCAAGGCGACGAUACAUAGAUGGUCUGAGAGGAUGAUCAGCCACACUGGGACUGAGAAACGGCGCAGAAUACUACGGGAGGCAGCAGUGGGGAAUAUUGGAAAAUGGGCGAAAGCCUGAAGCAGCAAUGCCGCGUGAGUGAUGAAGGCCUUAGGGUAGUAAAGCUCUUUUAAACGGGAUGAUAAUGACAGUACCGGGAGAAUAAGCUCCGGCUAACUCCGUG